GAGACCACAACACACUCCACACACCGGGAAAGCGAGGCCACAACCCAUCGAGUUACAUCCAGUAACUAUUUACUGCUAGGUGAACAGGGGCCACACAUUAAGAGGCUUGCCCAUUUGGCUUGCCGCUCCUGAGACUCAAACACAGCCCUCUCGAUUGUGAGUUGAGCAUGCUAACCACUACACUACGUGUGUGUGUGUGUGUUCACUCCAGUUCUGUUUUUACUUUUUGGUUCAUAAAGGUUUUUGCUAAGUCUCCUUGUUCUUAUUUGUCACAUCUUAUAUAUAAUUUCCUUAUUUUUUUCAUGUUUCUUUCAGUAAAAAUGUAUUUCACCAAUUAUUUUCAGUUUGUUUUCUGUGUAAGGUUAUUGUAAAUCCUUGUGUUCUAUUCUGAUGCCUUGAUAUGCAGUACAGUGUAGCAGAGUGUUCUAGUCGUCUUCUUUAUACAUGUUGCUUACUCUGCACCCAAGCUGGUGCCUUGAUGUCUUCUAUAGAAUGGUAGACACUAAAACAGAUUGUUCUGGCUCUAUACCAGAUGAUGGAGAAUGGUCUGUUGUCAUAGCAGUGUUCUUUGAUAUCUUCUUUAUAUUUUUGUAAACCUUUUGUAAACUCCACUUCCUGCUUCCAUUGUUCAGUGUCCCAGUUUUUCAAUGCAUGACUUACAAUGGUCACAUUCAAAUUUCAGCUUUUUGGUGUUUUUCAAUACCUCAAAUCUGUCUGCCUCAGUGCCAAGGACUGCUAAAACAGGCCUGCAUCAUUUUAGUUUUUUCCAAAUCUUAUCACCUUUUGCAUUUGUAUGUGUGUAAUUUUAGACUGUUAGAAGUAAAUCUUUACAGAGGUUCAUGUCCUCCUCCUGUCUUUGUUCUGCUUCCCCUAUAUCAGAUUGAAGUCCAUUGUACAAAACCAUAUUGUUCCUUCUCUUAUUUCUAUCUCAUGUACUCAUACAUGUAGUUUUCCAUGUAUUCUCUCAUACCUGCUGGUGAGUUUGUUGUUCCAUCUACAUCAGCUGUUCUCACUGUUCCUCCUCCUCCUCUCAUUUCCCUACAUAUUUCCUCCUUCAGUUUUGUCACCUCAUUGAUGAUGUCUCACCUGAGUGCUUGUUGUACUUCUAACCAUGUCUUGUUAAAAAUCUUUCCUUUGAGCUCUGCGAAUUGCUUCCUCAUAUUGUCCCGUUCUUGUUUAAGCCUUCAAUUUUCCUUUAUGGCACUCUCUAUUUGAGGUCUGCAGACUUUGCAGUAUCAUGGCUCACCUGGUUUUUUUCUGAUAAGCCUCAUACAGAUCUUUCUUAAUCUUCUAACAGCCAAAGUACUACCAGAGGUCACAUAUAUUGCAGCAUAAUGUGUUAUCUACUUCUUUCACUACCUUUUUGCAGGUACCACACUGCUCCAUGUUACCAUUUGUCAUUUUUACAUGCAACUAUCAGACGGUUUUACACUGUUCAAUACACAAAUAGUGCGGGGAAACCUGUAUUAAUACUCAUACAUACAUAUAUCCAUGAGAUAGAAUAGUAUCUAAUGAACAUAUUCAUCAUUAAGCAUAACCUAAGAAUAUUCAGGAUAGAACAAGAAUGUAUGAAUGUAAGCAACUUUAUGCCAGUUAACAGAGUGCCUAAACAGUUCCUCUUUACUCCUAAGUAGAUCCUCUUUACUUCAGAGAAAGUCUAGGAGAUGUAGGAAGCACACACAUAUACACAUACACUGCACCUGUGUCUGUGCACCUGAUCUCUUUCCUACAAUGAUGAAAUGAUAAAAUAAGACUACAUUUUUAUGGCCUAAACAUCUUAAAGUUUAAAUCCUACUCAAUACUUUCCUAACACAGCAGUGAUGACAUGCUUUCCAGAGUACAAAACACAAUAGGAGUACAGUAUGGAACGAACCAUGCUCCUCUAAACCACUUGCAAAAGAUACUACAAGAACUUGUCCAUUCACAGAGCAAGCAAGUGCUCUCUGUAGACAUACCUGGUUGCCUCCCAGCCCAUGGCAGUAGCUGGUACCCAGAUUCUCCCCACUCUUGCGGCCCAGUGUGUCUAGGCAGCUCUGCGUCUCUACAUUGCGGAUCUGAAUGAGAAGUAAUGAGAAAUGAGUCACCUUCAUAUACUAAUCUAUUAACAUGGUACUGUCAUAAAGAGAGAGGAGCACUGUACCUCUCCCAGAUAGUAGUAGUCAAGAGGCAUCUGGGACUCAGGGUAGAUGUUCUCCAGGAACCAACGGAAACUCUUGCACUUGAGGUCCUUCCUGAGCUUCCUGCGCUCACCCACAUCACCGUAAUCCACACUCCGCGCCCCUAAGCCACCAACCAUUCAAUUUAUUCACUCAAGACACACUAAUUACCACUGCAUUUAUUUAACUCUAGUUUUAUGACAGGUCAACAAUCGUGCAUUCUUAUGUCAGAUAUUCAACACACAGUAACAUUUAAGUGAAGUUCAAACAAAUACAUUAACAGAAUUUCUCAAUUAUACCAUGAAGGCAUAAUUAACUUAAGUCUAUGGCUUACAUCUAUGAUAAGGGGAUCUGCAGUCCUUAUGGUCAAGUCUUUAUAUCAUAAUGGUGGAAAGUAUUAAUAUAUUCUUAAAUGGUUGGUGCUGCUAUGUACUCAAACAAGCUAUAAAAAAGGUCAUGUAAUGUAUGUAUCUCGUUCUUUCGAUUUGAAUAUUUGUCAAAACAGCUGCUUGGA
rnacentral:lncRNA from 1 species